rnacentral:rRNA from 1 species
CAGUCGCCACGGGAACACAGAGGGUGCAAGCGUUAAUCGGAAUUACCGGGCGUAAAGCGUGCGUAGGCGGUUUGUUAAGUCUACUGUGAAAUCCCCGGGCUCAACCUGGGAAUGGCAGUGGAUACUGGCAAGCUAGAGUGUGUCAGAGGAUGGUGGAAUUCCCGGUGUAGCGGUGAAAUGCGUAGAGAUCGGGAGGAACAUCAGUGGCGAAGGCGGCUAUCUGGGACAACACUGACGCUGAGGCACGAAAGCGUGGGGAGCAAACAGGAUUAGAUACCCCCGUAGUCCCUGUCUCUUAUAA